CCCCUAGAUGUUCUGGGCCGCACGCGCGCUACACUGAACAGUUCAACAAGUCUUAACCUUGGCCGAUAGGUCUGGGUAAUCUUUGAACGCUGUUCGUGAUUGGGAUAGACCUUUGCAAUUAUGGGUCUUCAACGAGGAAUUCCUAGUAAACGCAAGUCAUCAGCUUGCAUUGAUUACGUCCCUGCCCUUUGUACACACCGCCCGUCGCACCUACCGAUUGAAUGGUCCGGUGAAAUCUCGGGACGGCGGCUUGGUCGCUUGCGUCCGACUGCUGAAACUUGAUUAAACUAUAUCAUUUAGAGGAAGGUGAAGUCGUAACA
rnacentral:rRNA from 1 species